rnacentral:rRNA from 1 species
UGGGGAAUUUUGGACAAUGGGCGCAAGCCUGAUCCAGCCAUUCCGCGUGAGUGAAGAAGGCCUUCGGGUUGUAAAGCUCUUUCGCAAGGGAAGAAAACUUAGAUACUAAUAUUAUCUGAGGUUGACGGUACCUUGAUAAGAAGCACCGGCUAACUACGUGCCAGCAGCCGCGGUAAUACGUAGGGUGCGAGCGUUAAUCGGAAUUACUGGGCGUAAAGCGUGCGCAGGCUGUUUUGUAAGUCAGAUGUGAAAUCCCCGAGCUCAACUUGGGAACUGCGUUUGAAACUACAAGACUAGAAUAUGUCAGAGGGGGGUAGAAUUCCACGUGUAGCAGUGAAAUGCGUAGAGAUGUGGAGGAAUACCAAUGGCGAAGGCAGCCCCCUGGGAUAAUAUUGACGCUCAUGCACGAAAGCGUGGGGAGCAAACAGGAUUAGAUACCCUGGUAGUCCACGCCCUAAACGAUGUCUACUAGUUGUUGGUGGAGUAAAAUCCAUGAGUAACGCAGCUAACGCGUGAAGUAGACCGCCUGGGGAGUACGGUCGCAAGAUUAA